GUUAGGAAUAUUGGACAAUGGGCGAAAGCCUGAUCCAGCCAUGCCGCGUGAACGAUGAAGGCCUUCGGGUUGUAAAGUUCUUUAGCCGAUGAUUAUAAUGACUGUAGUCGGAAAAUAAGCCCCGGCUAACUUCGUGCCAGCAGCCGCGGUAAUACGAAGGGGGCGAGCGUUAUUCGGAAUCACUGGGCGUAAAGCGUGCGUAGGCGGUUUUGUAAGUUGGGAGUGAAAGCCCAGGGCUCAACCCUGGAAUUGCUCUCAAAACUGCAAGGCUCGAAUUCGGGAGAGGAUAGCGGAAUUGUCAGUGUAGCAGUGAAAUGCGUAGAUAUUGACAGGAACACCAGUGGCGUAAGCGGCUAUCUGGACCGAUAUUGACGCUGAGGCACGAAAGCGUGGGGAUCAAACAGGAUUAGAUACCCGAGUAGUCC
rnacentral:rRNA from 1 species